rnacentral:lncRNA from 1 species
AAAAUUGAAGAGAAUGAAAGAAAGGACCAAAAAAGUUUUACAAGCUGCAUAGAUGAUGGAUGAUAGGGGAUUAGCAAACCAAGAAAAUGGGGCCCUGGUGUUUUGCACUACAGAAUUCUGUCCCCCUGUCUCCCCCACCAAAAUCAGUAAUUGAUUACACCAGAUUUCCCUGGAACAGAGAGCGAAAGGGUAUAGAUUAAAUAGGAAAGACAUUAACUAUCUGCUUAAGAAACUGGAAAGUGUCUAUAUAUCCUACUCUAUCCUGGCAAAAGACUGAAGAUUUGUUGUAGAGAGGGCAAAACAGAGGGUUUGGAGGAGAUACCAGGCACUGUUGAUGUGAUAUACUGGGCUGGGAAUGUAGCUCAGUGAUAAUGCUUAUGCCUAAAGCCCUGGGGUCAAUCCCCAGCACAGAAAAGAAAGAGAUUGUAACUGCCAUAGAGAGAUCAAAAUGAAAACGAUUUAAGCCUCCUAUUGAGAUACAUCAGGUGCCACCCGUGUCACUUCCUUAGUGCCAUUCAUGUCACUCCCCCAUGAGUGACAUGAAUGGGAUAGAGUCCAGAGGCACUUUACCUAGGGAUAGAGUCCAGAGACACUUUACCGCUUUGCCACUGCGCCACAUCCCCAGCCCUCUUUAUUUUGAGACAAGGCUCUAAGUUGCCUAGAGCCUUGCUAAAUUGCUGAGUCUGUUCUUGAACUUGUCUCCAGACUCAGCCUCCCAAGUCUCUGGGAUUACAGGCGUGCCUAUUGUUUUUCCUUCUCCUCCUUCUCCUUCUCCUUCUCUUCUUCUUUUUGGUACCAGGGAUUGAACCCAAGGGCACUUAACCACUGAGUCACAUCCCCAGCCCAUCUUUUAUUUUGACUUGGGGUCUCUAAGUUGUUUAGGGCCUCACUAAGUUGCUAAGGCUGGCUUUGAACUUGCAAUCCUCUUGCCUCAGCCUCCCAAACUGCUGGGAUGACAGGCGUGUGCCC